ACAAUAUAUACAUGGACGUGUAAGGUUGUUAUUUAUUCUGUCUAGUACAGUUUGUAGAUUAUUUUGCAAACAUAUUAGUGUUAGCAUGCAAGUUAUUCUAAGCAAGUUUUGUAUAUACAUUCAUCAAAAAAAUAUCUGUGAUUUAUAUGCAAUGUCUGUAAAAUAUGUGAUUACUUGUCUCUACAUAGAACAAAGAUGUUUCAUUUUAGAUUUUCAAAGCUUUUUUUUUUUCUUCUGGCAUUUUUGUACUGAGUAAUAUUGGUGUAUAGAGAUUCUUACUUAAUAUUGACCAUCUUAUUCAAAUACUGGUGUCUGCAUGUUAAUUGUAGGAUCAUCAGCGGAGGCCAAUUUUUGUAAAUUGCCAGUUUAUUAAAACUUCGUUGGGACAUAUUUUUGUGGAUAAACUUUUAUGAAUAAUUUAUAAAUAAAAGUUCCAUUAUUUUCUGUCAAUGUUAAAUUCAUGGGUGAAGGUUAUCCAAGAAAUAUAUGGAAAUGGAGCCAACGUGAACGUUAAUACUUUUACAGCAAUCUGAAACAUUGAUACAAGCAUUUUCUAUUCAAAUGUAUACUUUUCUUCCAAAUGACCCAUUCUCCAGUGAAUACUAUAACAUGCCAGAAAUAAAAUACAACUGCUUCAAAUAAUUUAUUACAAUGUGCACUUUUAUGUACAUGUAUUUAUAACAUAAAUUCAAUGAAAAACAAAAC
rnacentral:misc_RNA from 1 species